AAGUCGUAACAAGGUCUCCGUAGGUGAACCUGCGGAGGGAUCAUUAACGAGUAAGGGCGGAAACGCCCGACCUCCAACCCUUUGUUUGCGAAAACCCCGUUGCCUCGGGGGCUCCGGGCCCCGCCUCGGCCCACCAAACAACUAGCAUCUUUGCGUCGGAGUAAUUUAUUUAAUAAAUCAAAA
rnacentral:misc_RNA from 1 species